rnacentral:lncRNA from 1 species
GAAAUAAUUCAGUCAUAAAGCAUAGCAAAACGUUCCGCGAUACAAACAAAAUCAUGCGAAGCAAUAUAUCUAAAUGAAUUACCAAUACACAAACAUCCCUCAAUGGUGGCAUCUUUAUAAACACCCAAAAUUAAAACGUGCUUUUUAAUAAAUUGACAAUUUGGCUGUGAAGCUUUAACUGGAGAAGACACCAAGGGACGCUGCUUCAUAUGUAUAUCUAAAGACCGCUUCUGGAAUAACCGUCAUUCUCUCGAUACCGAUGGAUUUUGGCAUCGAAAUUCAUGAAUUUGCAAAUUAAUAUUAUUAUAGUACGAUUGGUUAUUAAAGUUCUAUGACGAAGGUUUAUUUUAUGACCUUAAGUGUGAUGCCCGGUCGGCCAAAUUAAAGUUUCAAUAAAAUUAAUCACUAGUCUAUUUAUUGGGGUGCUUUUU